rnacentral:rRNA from 1 species
UCAGGUGCCUAUAUCGGCGGUGUCCACCUCUUCCCAUUCCGAACAGAGAAGUUAAGCCCGCCAGAGCCGAUGGUACUGCGGUAACACGUGGGAGAGUAGGUCGGUGCCGACU